GAGGGUAUAGCUCAAUCAAAGGAGUGCAUGCUUAGCAUUCAUGAGGUCCUGGGUUCAAUCCCCAGUACUUCUU
rnacentral:tRNA from 1 species